UUCGGGUUGUAAAGGUACUUUCAGCAGUGAGGAAGUGGUGCAGUUAAUAGCUGUAUCAUUUGACGUUUAGCUGCAGAAGAAGCACCGGCUAACUCCGUGCCAGCAGCCGCGGUAAUACGGAGGGUGCGAGCGUUAAUCGGAAUUACUGGGCGUAAAGCGCAUGCAGGUGGUUUGUUAAGUCAGAUGUGAAAGACCCGGGGCGUCAACCUCGGAAUUGCAUUUGAAACUGGCAGACUAGAGUACUGUAGAGGGGGGUAGGAAUUUCAGGUGUAGCGGUGAAAUGCGUAGAGAUCUGAAGGAAUACCGGUGGCGAAGGCGGCCCCCUCGGACAGAUACUGACACUCAGAUGCGAAAGCGUGGGGAGCAAACAGGAUUAGAUACCCUGUAG
rnacentral:rRNA from 1 species